rnacentral:rRNA from 1 species
GACGAACGCUGGCGGCGUGCUUAACACAUGCAAGUCGAACGGAAAGGCCCUGCUUUUGUGGGGUGCUCGAGUGGCGAACGGGUGAGUAACACGUGAGUAACCUGCCCUUGACUUUGGGAUAACUUCAGGAAACUGGGGCUAAUACCGGAUAGGAGCUCCUGCUGCAUGGUGGGGGUUGGAAAGUUUCGGCGGUUGGGGAUGGACUCGCGGCUUAUCAGCUUGUUGGUGGGGUAGUGGCUUACCAAGGCUUUGACGGGUAGCCGGCCUGAGAGGGUGACCGGCCACAUUGGGACUGAGAUACGGCCCAGACUCCUACGGGAGGCAGCAGUGGGGAAUAUUGCACAAUGGGCGGAAGCCUGAUGCAGCAACGCCGCGUGCGGGAUGACGGCCUUCGGGUUGUAAACCGCUUUCGCCUGUGACGAAGCGUGAGUGACGGUAAUGGGUAAAGAAGCACCGGCUAACUACGUGCCAGCAGCCGCGGUGAUACGUAGGGUGCGAGCGUUGUCCGGAUUUAUUGGGCGUAAAGGGCUCGUAGGUGGUUGAUCGCGUCGGAAGUGUAAUCUUGGGGCUUAACCCUGAGCGUGCUUUCGAUACGGGUUGACUUGAGGAAGGUAGGGGAGAAUGGAAUUCCUGGUGGAGCGGUGGAAUGCGCAGAUAUCCAGGAGGAACACCAGUGGCGAAGGCGGUUCUCUGGGCCUUUCCUGACGCUGAGGAGCGAAAGCGUGGGGAGCGAACAGGCUUAGAUACCCUGGUAGUCCACGCUGUAAACGGUGGGUACUAGGUGUGGGGUCCAUUCCACGGGUUCCGUGCCGUAGCUAACGCUUUAAGUACCCCGCCUGGGGAGUACGGCCGCAAGGCUAAAACUCAAAGGAAUUGACGGGGCCCCGCACAAGCGGCGGAGCAUGCGGAUUAAUUCGAUGCAACGCGUAGAACCUUACCUGGGUUUGACAUGGAUCGGGAGUGCUCAGAGAUGGGUGUGCCUCUUUUGGGGUCGGUUCACAGGUGGUGCAUGGCUGUCGUCAGCUCGUGUCGUGAGAUGUUGGGUUAAGUCCCGCAACGAGCGCAACCCUUGUUCACUGUUGCCAGCACGUUAUGGUGGGGACUCAGUGGAGACCGCCGGGGUCAACUCGGAGGAAGGUGGGGAUGACGUCAAGUCAUCAUGCCCCUUAUGUCCAGGGCUUCACGCAUGCUACAAUGGCUGGUACAGAGAGUGGCGAGCCUGUGAGGGUGAGCGAAUCUCGGAAAGCCGGUCUCAGUUCGGAUUGGGGUCUGCAACUCGACCUCAUGAAGUCGGAGUCGCUAGUAAUCGCAGAUCAGCAACGCUGCGGUGAAUACAUUCCCGGG